rnacentral:lncRNA from 1 species
CAAGGGACCCUGGGGGAGAGGGCCUUCGAUGGAUCUUCCACAGUUUUGAUUCAGCUCGUAGAAUCCUAACCUGAUCAAUGCCAUCUCUGAAUACUCAGCCACCCACACCCAGGAAAGGAUAGGAACAAGGACCAAAGAUACAGAGGUACCAUUGGGUGAAGCACUACGGAUACAAAGAAAAAGUAAAAGCAAUGUCUGGCCUCCAGGAAUUCACAUUCUAAUGGAAAGGACAACACAGACAUACCAGAAAAAUACAAAGAAGAUGGAAGAUAUCUUUAGAGGAGAGGCAUCAGCUGAGGGUACAUAGAAAAAGCCUCCUUCAGGAUGUAGCACUUAAAUGGAGUUUUUAAAGUUUUAAAUUCCAUGAGGUGGGAAUUCCAAGGGAGAGCAUUCAAAAUAUAGGGUACGGCUAGUGCAGAGAAACAGCCAGAACAUGAAAAAUCAUGUGUGACAAAGAGCAAGUAGGCCAAUAUGCCAUACUAUAGAGUAUACAAAGGGGAAUGAUCUUUUAAAAGACAUAUU